UGGACGCUAGCGGCGCGCUUAAUGCAUGCAAGUCGAGCGAUGAGGUCUCCUUCGGGGGACACAUCAGCGGCAGACGGGUGAGUAACACGUAGGUAACCUACCCCAGAGACAGGGAUAACCCUAGGAAACGAGGGCUAAUACCGGAUGACCUCCGGAAGGAGGAAAGGCUCAGGCGCUCUGGGAGGGGCUUGCGGCCCAUCAGCUAGUUGGUAGGGUAAAGGCCUACCAAGGCGAAGACGGGUAGGGGGUGUGAGAGCACGGNCCCCCACAAUGGGACUGAAACACGGCCCAUACUCCUACGGGAGGCAGCAGCAGGGAAUAUUGCACAAUAGGCGAAAGCCUGAUGCAGCGACGCCGCGUGAGUGAAGAAGGCCUUCGGGUCGUAAAGCUCUUUUGUAGGGGAAGAGGAAGGACGGUACCCUAAGAAGAAGCGUCGGCUAACUACGUGCCAGCAGCCGCGGUAAGACGUAGGACGCGAGCGUUAUCCGGAAUUACUGGGCGUAAAGGGCCAGCAGGCGGCUUGGUAAGUUGUGCGUGAAAGCCUCGUGCUCAACGCGAGGAAGCCGGACAAUACUGUCAAGCUAGAGGGCAUCAGAGGGGAGUGGAAUUCCCGGAGUAGCGGUAAAAUGCGCAGAUAUCGGGAGGAACACCGAUGGCGAAGGCAGCUCCCUGGGAUGCACCUGACGCUAAGAGGCGAAAGCUAGGGGAGCGAACAGGAUUAGAGACCCUGGUAGUCCUAGCUGUAAACGCUGGGUGCUAGGUGUGGGACGUAGAAGUUCCGUGCCGGAGCAAACGCGAUAAGCACCCCGCCUGGGAAUUACGGUCGCAAGGCUAAAACUCAAACGAAUUGACGGGGCCCCGCACAAGCAGCGGAGCGUGUGGUUCAAUUCGAUGCUACACGAAGAACCUUACCUGGGUUUGACAUGUACGUGGUACGAAGGCGAAAGCCUAAGGACCCUUCGGGGAGCGUACACAGGUG
rnacentral:rRNA from 1 species